GGGCCCAUGGCGCAGUGGUUAGCGCAGGGAACUCAUAAUUCCUUGGUCGGUGGUUCGAAUCCACCUGGGCCCA
rnacentral:tRNA from 1 species